rnacentral:rRNA from 1 species
UGGGGAAUAUUGCACAAUGGGCGCAAGCCUGAUGCAGCCAUGCCGCGUGUAUGAAGAAGGCCUUCGGGUUGUAAAGUACUUUCAGCGAGGAGGAAGGCGUUGUGGUUAAUAACCGCAGCGAUUGACGUUACUCGCAGAAGAAGCACCGGCUAACUCCGUGCCAGCAGCCGCGGUAAUACGGAGGGUGCAAGCGUUAAUCGGAAUUACUGGGCGUAAAGCGCACGCAGGCGGUCUGUCAAGUCGGAUGUGAAAUCCCCGGGCUCAACCUGGGAACUGCAUCCGAAACUGGCAGGCUAGAGUCUCGUAGAGGGGGGUAGAAUUCCAGGUGUAGCGGUGAAAUGCGUAGAGAUCUGGAGGAAUACCGGUGGCGAAGGCGGCCCCCUGGACGAAGACUGACGCUCAGGUGCGAAAGCGUGGGGAGCAAACA